AUUCACCCCUAAAAGGAGCACCGGAGACUUCUUAUCUUCCUCAUCAGCGAGGUCACUGGAAAUAAUAGAAACAUGAUAUGGAUUUUGUUUGAGUGGAACCAAUAGCCAGCCAGGAGUACUUCCACUACCUAUGAUUUCAUAUAUUGAGGAGCACAAGAAAACGUAACGUGCAACAAAAGACAUGCAGAAGCAAAAUAAAUAACAAAAAAAACAAAACAUACACAAAAUACUCACUUUUACUAUCGAACGAAGGCAACAAACUCAAGCAAUUCUUUCGUAAUAAAACUGAAAAUAAAAUACAAAA